rnacentral:rRNA from 1 species
CCUACGGGUGGCAGCAGUGAGGAAUAUUGGUCAAUGGACGAGAGUCUGAACCAGCCAAGUAGCGUGAAGGAUGACUGCCCUAUGGGUUGUAAACUUCUUUUAUAUGGGAAUAACAUGUUCCACGUGUGGGAUUUUGUAUGUACCAUAUGAAUAAGGAUCGGCUAACUCCGUGCCAGCAGCCGCGGUAAUACGGAAGAUCCGAGCGUUAUCCGGAUUUAUUGGGUUUAAAGGGAGCGUAGGUGGAUUGUUAAGUCAGUUGUGAAAGUUUGCGGCUCAACCGUAAAAUUGCAGUUGAAACUGGCAGUCUUGAGUACAGUAGAGGUGGGCGGAAUUCGUGGUGUAGCGGUGAAAUGCUUAGAUAUCACGAAGAACUCCGAUUGCGAAGGCAGUUCACUGGACUGCAACUGACACUGAGGCUCGAAAGUGUGGGUAUCAAACAGGAGUAGAUACCCCGGUAGUC